rnacentral:miRNA from 1 species
AAAACGAAGAAAGAAGAAGAA